AGCGGCGAACGGGUGAGUAACACGUAGGUGAUCUGCCCAUCAGACGGGGACAACGAUUGGAAACGAUCGCUAAUACCGGAUAGGACGAAAGUUUAAAGGUGCUUCUGGCACCGCUGAAGGAUGAGCCUGCGGCGCAUUAGCUAGUUGGUAGGGUAAAGGCCUACCAAGGCGACGAUGCGUAGCCGACCUAAGAGGGUGAACGGCCACACUGGGACUGAGACACGGCCCAGACUCCUACGGGAGGCAGCAGUAGGGAAUCUUCCACAAUGGACGCAAGUCUGAUGGAGCAACGCCGCGUGAGUGAAGAAGGUUUUCGGAUCGUAAAGCUCUGUUGUUGGUGAAGAAGGAUAGAGGUAGUAACUGGCCUUUAUUUGACGGUAAUCAACCAGAAAGUCACGGCUAACUACGUGCCAGCAGCCGCGGUAAUACGUAGGUGGCAAGCGUUGUCCGGAUUUAUUGGGCGUAAAGCGAGCGCAGGCGGAAAAAUAAGUCUAAUGUGAAAGCCCUCGGCUUAACCGAGGAACUGCAUCGGAAACUGUUUUUCUUGAGUGCAGAAGAGGAGAGUGGAACUCCAUGUGUAGCGGUGGAAUGCGUAGAUAUAUGGAAGAACACCAGUGGCGAAGGCGGCUCUCUGGUCUGCAACUGACGCUGAGGCUCGAAAGCAUGGGUAGCGAACAGGAUUAGAUACCCUGGUAGUCCAUGCCAUAAACGAUGAGUGCUAAGUGU
rnacentral:rRNA from 1 species